GUGAGGAAUAUUGCGCAAUGGAGGCAACUCUGACGCAGCCAUGCCGCGUGCAGGAAGAAGGCGCUACGCGUUGUAAACUGCUUUUAACCGGGAAGAAACCCCAGGACGUGUCCUGGGUUGACGGUACCGGAGGAAUAAGCACCGGCUAACUUCGUGCCAGCAGCCGCGGUAAUACGAAGGGUGCAAGCGUUAUCCGGAUUCAUUGGGUUUAAAGGGUGCGUAGGCUGAGCGUUAAGUCAGUGGUGAAAUCCUGCAGCUUAACUGUAGACUUGCCAUUGAUACUGGCGCUCUUGAGUGCGCUUGAAGUGGGCGGAAUGUGCCGUGUAGCGGUGAAAUGCUUAGAUAUGGCACAGAACACCAAUUGCGAAGGCAGCUCACUAAGGCGAUACUGACGCUGAGGCACGAAAGCGUGGGGAUCGAACAGGAUUAGAAACCCCAGUAGUCC
rnacentral:rRNA from 1 species